CAAAUGCAGCAGGCGACUUAGCUAAUUUGUUAGCUAAAUAGGCCACUACUUGUGGGUUUUUGGGAACAUAUUUUUCAGUUGAGGCUAGGAAAACAGCUCAGCCUGUUAUGAGCGUUGCAGUUUGAUGUCACUACGAUGUAGUAACAUUGCCCAAAUUCCAUAAGCUGGGUCUCUGAAAAAGGUAGCUUAACACAUCAAGGACCACGCAAAGAUGACAGCACCAUCACAGGAAUAUGUUUCUUACCUCUACGAGAGGCUCUAUGCCAAGCUGUCUGAUGACAGCUUUCAUGACAUUUGGAGCAUUGUUGGCUUUAUCAUCAUAUUCCUAUUCUGCUGUCUGAUGAUCACCUUGUUCAUGACUGUCUUGUUUACCUCAUGUUGUGGACGGUAUUUUGAGAGUCCACCAAGCAAAAUGAACAAAGUUGAUGCAGUACCUUCUACACCUUUGGGACCCACUUUUCCAGCUUCAGAUGGGUCACAUAUGACAGUGUACAAUGCUCCAUCGACUGUCAUGGAUAAGCCAGGACAUGUGAAGGAGUCAGGCAGUCAGAAGAAAGUGGCAAAGCCGGCCCCACAUGGACCACAACCACACGAAAAGGGUGUGGACAAACCAAAGAAAUCAAAGCAUAAGCACAAGGCUGCUAAUAAAGUCAAGUCUCAAAGCCAAAGCAAGAAACACUUGAAGGAAACACAUUGAUAAAUGUGAAUGUAAUUUAGGUAAUUCAGGUUAGUUUUAGCUGUACACCUGCCAGUUCUGUCACCAUGUUUCCUAUUCAAAUAAAGAACAUUCAUAAUAUGCCAUAA